GGAAGAGAGCUGAAUGCCACGAAAUCCCCGCUGUACUGGUUCUAAACACAGCUGGAUGCCCUGAAAGAUGAAGGUGGACACGGGAGACAAACAGCCAGAAGGCUUCACCCACAGGUGACAAAUCUUUUCUAGCAUCGAAGAGGACUGAGCUUUUGCAGGGUCCCAUUCUAGCCUCUGGACCUGAGUCUUGGCAGCACUGACUGGUUACCUGCAAGCCACUCGGUCAUCCCUUAACCUAUCACUGAAAUCAAAGAGAUGUGAUCUCCCAAUUGAUUGUCUUGGCUAGGUCACAUGCUCACCUCUGAGGUUGAAGUGAGGUGAGGUCUGCAGUUACUGUUUGGUGAGUGGGAAAAAUGAUUAAUUUCCCCCUAGAAAACUUGAAGUUUAUUAAGGUUUAAAAGACUUCAGACAGCAAACAGGAUCAUAGUCAACUUAGAGCAAAGAGAGCCUAUGGAUGGCUGAGGACUUGUAAAUACAGCACUGACCAGUGGCUCAGACACCUGUCCAAAGGACUCCUCACAGUCCGAGGACUCCCUGAGACAUCAAGGCUCUGUCCUGCCAGCUGCCGUUGUAACGGUGGUCAUUGUUGAGAAAGCACAAGAUUAACAAGAGCAAACAUCAAUGAGUUUGUCCUUAUUGUCAGUCAGAUGUCAUGGGGGCCAAUAAUGCCUAAUCACAUAUAGGGAUUGUUGUCAGAGCUUUAUACUUAUUUUUAAAUUGUGUGUGUAUGAGUAUGUCUCUGGGUACGCUUGUAUAUGAGUGAGUACAGGCACCCACGAAAUCCAGAAAAGGACAUGAGAUACCCUGGAUCUUGAAUUCCAUAAGGGUGUGAGCCAUUGAAUAUGGGUGAUGGGAAAUGACCUCUGGAAGAGCAGUGAGCACUCUUACCCACUGACCCAUCUCUCCAACCCUGCCUUUAAUUAGUUUUGAUAGACUGUAAGUCUUUGUGUUGUCUUCACCUGCUGUUGACUGUUGUGAACAAGUUGAUGGCAUUUUAAAUUGCAGGUUUUAUUAGAAGUCUCAGGGUCAUCAUUUCCAAACUUGUUGAUUCUGAUGAUGCUUCUCCAAGUGUCCUUAAUGUUGGACUAGGAGAAGCCAUUUGGAAAGCCAUAGGUAUCAAACGGAAGACUUUCUGAGUAUUAGAUUCACCGAAGAGGCCAUAGCAUGGCAGUGUCUUCCUGCUGGAGUCUCUGAGUUAGUCUGACAGACUCAUGGCAUUUCUCCCUCUGAGAAGUUUUCAUGAGGUAAGGCCUCAGGAUGUGGCAAUCUCAAAUGACAGACAAAGAGGAACCAUGUUUACAAAUCAGCGGUAUCUGGGGACCAGUGUCAAGUGGAAGAGAACAGGCCUCACUGUGACUUCCUUCCCAGAAGCCUGGAGUAAAGACUCUGACAUCAAUGAGCAGGGAAGAGGGGGAUGUCAGUGAUGGCUCCAGUCCCCCAGUGACACCGCCCCUUGUCCACUCUGUUCCAGAGAGAUUCCUGCAACAUUUCUGGAAGCCCCAGCGAGAUCUCCUUCUCCAUGGCCCCAUGGAAGAGAGGAGCUGCUGCUCCCUGGUCUCUCAGAACACUCAAGUCUUCUGGAACUGGGAAGCACACAUCCUAAACAGGACUUGGGGGUCCUCUCCCAGUGGCCAAGGGGACUGGGGGACCAAGACCUGGAGUCUCUGAGCAGAAGACCAGAUGAGACUGGGCUGGAUGUCCAGGCCAGGUAAAGACAAAAAAGGGAGAUAGGUAGGAAGAGCCAGCCAUGGCUAGAUCGCCUUGCAGGAUAUUAUAUCUGAAGCCUUGAAGGGAUACUCAGGUAGCACUGGUUCCCAAGGAAAAGGCCUUGAUGAGAUACUCAGGUGGAAGAAAUAGACAGACUAAGCAUUUAAAAGGGGGAUGUGUAACUUCUAAGUGAAUGGUGAAUGACUGUGUAGGUGACUGUAAUGCUCCCGCAGCUCCCUGGUUACAGAAUUUGCUUGGGCCUCAACCUCAGAUCGACUGAAGCCCUUUCAAAUGGACAGGUACUCCCACUCACAAUAGGAGGUGACCAAGCACAAGGUUAUACAUGUGGCCCUAAGGAAAGACCUCUGAAAUUGCCACAUGGUGUCUGGCCAGGCAGAUGCCUGCUUGAGGGAGAAGCUGGUCUCCACCUCACCCUAUUCACCAAGCAGGGUUAGGCACACAUAAACUCCCCCAGCCCCCAGACAGGAAACUUUUCUCACCAUGGGAUUUGUAGAGUCCUGAUGUGAAACUCGCACAAUCCUGCAAAGACCUUUAAGCCAAAAGACUCCAAGGAAGCACCCCAUUAACUUCCCUGGAGGAUGAAAUCUUGCCGUGGUGCCAUCUCCCUACCCUACUGGCUCCAAUUGUCAGUGCCACAUGGUGCCAAGGCAGUUCCAAGACCACCUGAUCCCAUCCUUUCUACUGCCACUGAGGGAAAUGCCAGGACCUCCCCUUAUCCAAGAAGGUGACAGCUGUUACCUGACCCUAAAUCUGGCCACAUAUUUGCCAGGAGGGAGAGCCCGUCUAUGAUUGUGGAGAAAUUAUAAAAGUGAUUUUUUUUUCUCACAGUCAGAUUUAAAGAUCAAACUACUUCCCAAUGCAGGUAUGGAACUUUUACCAGUCCUAGUGACCUGAAAUGGGGCCCUAGUACCACAUGGUAGAAGGAAAGAAAAGACCUCUCAGCCUUCCAUGCACAGGUAGUGGCACUCCCACACAUUAAACAAAUAAACAGAAAAUAACAUAACAUGAAGUCUCCCCAUCAGUAUAAGAGAUCAGCUUCCCAGCUUUCAUACCGACUAUCCCCUAUGAAUCCUGCAGCCACCUUGUGUCAUACUACUGUCCCCUAUCCCGCAGCUCCCCUGUGAGUUAGGUAGACAGAUGGCACAUGCCCAGUGUAACAUAGCCAUCUUGGGCUCCCUGCCCAGUGCUGCCUCAGGUGCUGAAAGUCCUGACAGUGAGUCUGUGCUGAGAGGAGUUUCCACUCUUCCUCCCAUGGUUGCACACCACUUAGGCUUAAACACCAGGCCUAUGUGACAUCAUGACUUCUCAGUUAACCCAAGUCAUGGAGUGGAAGGCAAUGAAGGGCCUAUGAAUGUGUUUAUGUAAGUGAGAGAUUUUGCUAAGGUAUCAGCCUAUCGUUGAAUUCUUCCUAGAGAUGAGCAGGGUUUUUUGUUUGUUUUGUUUUGGUUUUGUUUUGUUUUGUUUUUUAAUUAUGUAUGAUGUGUGGGUGUGGGUAAGCAUGCACAUGCCUGCAUGUACCUGGGUAGCUCAGAGGUUGAUGUCUGGUGUCUUCCUAGAUGGUUCUAUGUCUUAAUCUUGAUACAAGGUUUCCCAACUGAACUUGUGACUUGCUAUUUCAGCAGGACUUGAUGGCCAUACUGUCUCUGCCUUUUUCCCUGUGCUGGGACUAUAGUGUUGCUCCUGGCUUUUAUAUGGGUGCUUGGGAUUUGAACCCAGGUUUUCGUAUUUAUGCAGCAAGCAGCUUACCCACCAAAGCACCCCUAGCCCAUGAGCCAGCUUCUCUGUUUCAGGAUCUUACCUGCUCUUCAGCUUUUGUUCACUUCCCACUUCCUGGGGUGAAGUGCAGUCUCUAGGUGAGGAUGGCCACGGCUUGUCUUCUCUAUCAGCUUGAUUGGAUGUAGACUGACUGUGGAAGCUCACCUCUGGGGUGUGUCAUCAAGGGUGUGUCUAGAGAGAGCUAACUGAAAAGGGAAGACCCAUCCUGAGUGUGGACAUGCUGCGCUAUCCCUGGGAAAAGAUGGUGGACAAGAAGCUCAUGAGCGAGGCACCAGUGUUCAUCUCUCUCUGCUUCCUGUGGUCCACUGCUUCACACUCCUGACUCCGUGGUCUCUCCACCCUGAUGAACUUCAGCGUGAAAGCCAAAACAGAUGUGAAACACCUGUGCCACGCAUUCCAUCACAGCAAUGAGAAACGUACAAGGUCUCUGUGAACCGUGACAAAAAAUGUUACGAGUUCAUAAAUCAAACCUGGUGUUAUCCUCUCCACACAGUAAGACUUAGGUUAUUGGUUGGCCUUCUGUGGAUCCCAGAUCCUUCAAUGUUAAGCUGCUGAAUUGUUAAUUAAAAUUGAAAACAUG
ensembl:lincRNA